UUGGCCGGAAGAAGACGGUUGGGAGAAACUCAAAGGCCUAUUUAUGGCCUACAAAACUCCCGGGAAGGUCUGAGAGAAGGCCCUUUCGUGAGAUCUAGGAGAUCUUCUAGUGUCCUUAUAGAAGAGAGGCUGUAGAAGAAGGUGUUUCCCCCGAGUGGGUUUGGAAACGGCCUCGGCCAGCAAUCACCUAUACAAGCUAAGUGCGAUCGUCAUACCAACACAAUUCAGACUAGUCUUCGGCCAA
rnacentral:RNase_P_RNA from 14 species